rnacentral:piRNA from 1 species
UCAGGAACCCCAGGGACCUGCCU